rnacentral:rRNA from 1 species
CGAAGUUACGCUAAUACCGCAUAUGCCCUAAGGGGGAAAGCGGGGGAUUCGCAAGAACCUCGCGUUUUCGGAGCGGCCGAUAUCGGAUUAGCUAGUAGGUGAGGUAAAGGCUCACCUAGGCGACGAUCCGUAGCUGGUCUGAGAGGACGACCAGCCACACUGGAACUGAGACACGGUCCAGACUCCUACGGGAGGCAGCAGUGGGGAAUUUUGGACAAUGGGCGCAAGCCUGAUCCAGCCAUGCCGCGUGAGUGAAGAAGGCCUUCGGGUUGUAAAGCUCUUUCAGCCGGAAAGAAAACGCACGGGUUAAUAACCUGUGUGGAUGACGGUACCGGAAGAAGAAGCACCGGCUAACUACGUGCCAGCAGCCGCGGUAAUACGUAGGGUGCGAGCGUUAAUCGGAAUUACUGGGCGUAAAGCGUGCGCAGGCGGUUUUGUAAGACAGAUGUGAAAUCCCCGGGCUUAACCUGGGAACUGCAUUUGUAACUGCAAGGCUAGAGUACGGCAGAGGGGGG